UGAGGAAUAUUGGGCAAUGCCCGCAAGGGUGACCCAGCAACGCCGCGUGGAGGAUGAAUGUCGUAAGAUUGUAAACUCCUGUUAGAGGGGAAGAAUAGUACCGGUUGGACCGGUAUAUGACUGUACCCUCAGAGAAAGCCCCGGCUAACUACGUGCCAGCAGCCGCGGUAAUACGUAGGGUGCGAGCGUUAAUCGGAAUUACUGGGCGUAAAGCGUGCGCAGGCGGUUUUGUAAGACAGAUGUGAAAUCCCCGGGCUUAACCUGGGAACUGCGUUUGUGACUGCAAGGCUGGAGUACGGCAGAGGGGGGUGGAAUUCCACGUGUAGCAGUGAAAUGCGUAGAGAUGUGGAGGAACACCGAUGGCGAAGGCAGCCCCCUGGGCCUGUACUGACGCUCAUGCACGAAAGCGUGGGGAGCAAACG
rnacentral:rRNA from 1 species